CUUGCCCAGACCACAAGACUCCCUGUUGAGAAAGCAAGCGGACUCACAGUUUUUCAGUGUCUCAGGGAGCCUGCAGCAGUGAUCCAGUUCCUUCAAAAGAUUUAAGUUAAUUUUUCAACGUUGAAACCACUGACUAGAGAACAGGCCAUGACCCCAGGAGAAAGACCCUGCAACACAUUUUAACUGCACAUGAAUAAAUAAAAGUACCUGUUACAAAACAGCAGUAACAAAAGGGGGCUGAGGAAGCGACCUAUGCCACUAUUCCAGGAACAACUUUUACCUGGUGAGUACAACCCUAAAGUUAAAUGACACUCGAUUUAUUUGAAUAACAGAAACAGGCACAUCAUACACAGGCUUGCCCCUAGGAUAUUUUCUGCUUGGGAGGAAAACUUUGCAAAUACGUAAGUAAAAAAACCAAGCUUGGUCACUUUAAAAAUUGAAAAAGAAA
rnacentral:lncRNA from 1 species